UGAGUCACUGCUGCAGUUUUGCAUUUCGCCUGAAGGCCUGGCUGAAGUAAAAGUGAAACUAAUGUACACGGUUCGUUGAGGGCAACGGUCUGCUUCUGUGUUAGGUUUCUACUUUCUACAUUUAUGGAAGAAUCCACUUCUACACUGUAAUCUUCGAGUGGAUUAUCCUGAUGGAAACAUCGUCUGAGAGGAAGUAAUCUGGGCGUCCUCCACCUCGACAACAGGAAGAGGAGGCAGACAUCGUGAUGGACGAAAGUUGUCUGACAGCAAAAAAUGGGGACGUACAUUACAACAUUUGGUCUGUGGUCUGAAACCACCAACAUAUCAAAGGUGGUUGUUUAUGUGCAGCUGUCAUAUCAUAUGUCUGACAUUCACUUACCAGAACCCAGUUCUCUUUCAUAAGACUAAAACACUCCUUUGAGUUCAAUAACAUGUCAAUAUAUACAACAAAAACUCUGUAAUAAUUAACUAUACAUAAUAAAUGAUGAUGAAUAAGGAA